UCCCCUCUCCCCGCUACAGUAUUGGCUUAGAUCAAGUGUAGUAUCUGUUCUUUAUAGUUUAACGACUGUAACAUACCCUCCGUGGUAUUUAAUCGUUAACCCUCUCUUUGCUUCGAGGGGUCGAGUUGUGCGGCUUGCCGCUGCUCGCCACGGGUGUCCUUGCGCUCUACACUUCCGCCUUGAGACGCCCACCGCAU
rnacentral:snRNA from 1 species